rnacentral:rRNA from 1 species
ACUCCUACGGGAGGCAGCAGUGGGGAAUAUUGCACAAUGGGCGCAAGCCUGAUGCAGCCAUGCCGCGUGUAUGAAGAAGGCCUUCGGGUUGUAAAGUACUUUCAGCAGUGAGGAAGGUGGAGUCGUUAAUAGCGGCCUCAUUUGACGUUAGCUGCAGAAGAAGCACCGGCUAACUCCGUGCCAGCAGCCGCGGUAAUACGGAGGGUGCGAGCGUUAAUCGGAAUUACUGGGCGUAAAGCGCAUGCAGGCGGCCUGUUAAGUCAGAUGUGAAAGCCCGGGGCUUAACCUCGGAAUUGCAUUUGAAACUGGCAGGCUAGAGUCUUGUAGAGGGGGGUAGAAUUUCAGGUGUAGCGGUGAAAUGCGUAGAGAUCUGAAGGAAUACCAGUGGCGAAGGCGGCCCCCUGGACAAAGACUGACGCUCAGAUGCGAAAGCGUGGGGAGCAAACAGGAUUAGAUACCCUGGUAGGAUAGCG